AUUGACCUCGGAUCAGGUAGGGAUACCCGCUGAACUUAAGCAUAUCAAUAAGCGGAGGAAAAGAAACCAACAGGGAUUGCCUCAGUAACGGCGAGUGAAGCGGCAUCAGCUCAGAUUUGAAAUCUGGCCCCUUCGGGGUCCGAGUUGUAAUCUGUAGAGAGUGCUUCGGGUGAGACUACGGUCUAAGUCCAUUGGAACAUGGCGUCAUAGAGGGUGAGAAUCCCGUAUGUGACUGUGGCUCGGGCCCAUGUGAAGCCUCUUCGACGAGUCGAGUUGUUUGGGAAUGCAGCUCAAAAUGGGUGGUAAAUUUCAUCUAAAGCUAAAUACUGGCUGGAGACCGAUAGCGCACAAGUAGAGUGAUCGAAAGAUGAAAAGCACUUUGGAAAGAGAGUCAAACAGUACGUGAAAUUGUUGAAA
rnacentral:rRNA from 1 species